rnacentral:tRNA from 1 species
GCCUGGGUGGCUCAGUCGGUUAAGCGUCUGACUUUGGCUCAGGUCAUGAUCCCACAGUUUGUGGGUUUGAGCCCCAUGUUGGGCU